CAUAUGGAAACCAAUAAUGGUGAUGGUUUAACUCCCCGAGAACUAUUUACAAAGAACCAUAAGAACAUGAUGGAAAAGGGAGAGAAAUGGAUGAAGGACACAUCAUCAUCAUGUACAGUGGUGGGUGCUCUGAUUGUUACCAUUAUGUUCGCUGUAGCUUUUACGCUUCCGGGUGGUAAUGAUGAAACUACAGGCAUUCCAACAUUCUCAAAGAAAAAAUUG